rnacentral:ncRNA from 1 species
UCUUUCGGGGCAGGGUGAAAUUCCCAACCGGCGGUGAUAGCCCGCGACCUGUGCAUGUUUCAUGCAUGGCUGAUUCAGUGAAAAUCUGAAGCCGACAGUAUAGUCUGGAUGGUAGAAAGA